rnacentral:rRNA from 1 species
UACAGGGGGUGCAAACGUUGCUCGGAAUCAUUGGGCGUAAAGCGCACGUAGGCGGUUCGUUAUGUCGGAUGUGAAAGCCCUUGGCUUAACCGAGGAAGUGCAUCCGAAACUGGCGAGCUAGAGUACUAAAGAGGAUCGCGGAAUUCCCGGUGUAGAGGUGAAAUUCGUGGAUAUCGGGAGGAACACCGGUGGCGAAGGCGGCGAUCUGGGUAGAUACUGACGCUGAGGAGCGAAAGCAUGGGGAGCGAACAGG